GUACGUCCCUCCCCCUGGAGUCUGCAUCCAAUUAUAAACACAACCAUUGCUGGCUCCCCGUACGCACAGAGUAUGCACACAGCACGCCAGUCUCUUCCGCCCGUCGAUGUGGUAACUGAGAGUCUCAAUGUUAUAACUUUGUACAUUUCGAUUGGAACUCCAUAGAAGUUGACUAUGAAAUGACAAGCAACGCGCACUAGUAUUAAUAAGAAAGACACAUUUUAAAAACACGUUUGGUGCCUCACAAAGGUGCUGCUGUAAAUGCAUCACAUUUGGCUCAUUUCCAACUCCCGGUGGCCAACUGGGAGCAUGGUUCAUGCUGGCAGCUUGAUCCCAUGUUACCAAGUGGAUCUGAUCCAAGACAGACCAGGCCUCCAAGGGAAACAAAUAGCUGGCUGUCUGCCAUGUAUGUUUUGCCCAUUGCUUACCUGAAUAAAACAUUAUUCAAAUUGCCAUCAG